rnacentral:rRNA from 1 species
UACGGAGGGGGCUAGCGUUGUUCGGAAUUAUUGGGCGUAAAGAGCUCGUAGGCGGUCUGUCGCGUCGGCUGUGAAAACCUGGGGCUUAACUCCGGGCCUGCAGCCGAUACGGGCAGACUAGAGUUCGGCAGGGGAGACUGGAAUUCCUGGUGUAGCGGUGAAAUGCGCAGAUAUCAGGAGGAACACCGGUGGCGAAGGCGGGUCUCUGGGCCGAAACUGACGCUGAGGAGCGAAAGCGUGGGGAGCAAACAGG